GUAGGCACGGAUGCAUGUUCUCUCUUAAGAGACAUCUGAUAAAAUUGGAACGAUACAGAGAAGUGGUCCAAGUUUAUUUAUUUAUUUUUUUCCCCAUUUUUAUUUUCUUGAUUCAUCUUCAAUCUACAGCUCUGUUAUGUUCCUUCUUUCCUGUACUUCAAACCCAUUUCGUUGCUGAGGAUUGAACUUGAAACUAUUCAAUUUCUCUUGUUUUCAGAUUUCCUUUCAAGCCUCUAUUAAUUUCCACCCUGUAUGGGCACUUGACUGUGAGAGUUGUGCUCUGGUUAUUGAGACCCAACUAUGGUAGGUAAAACAUUUGAUGAACCUGUGCAUCAACAAUACAAUUUUUUUCAAUCUGUGCAUCCAAGGUAGAGCAUGUGCUUUCUGGAGUUUUGAGCUUCUGAGUGAAAGGUUUCUUGCUCUACUUUCAUGCAGAAUACCUUGUAGAUUGAAUCAUAAACAUGGGGUAUUUGUUUGUAUAGAACCAGGUAUAAGGGGAAGGAAGAAUACAAAGAGGGGAAAAGUUUAGUGCUUGGCAGCAUUGAUCUAUAAGAUAAGAGGGUUCUAGAAGAUUGAACACAGAGAAUCACCUUGGGGAAGGAAGGUCAGAAAUGAGUUGUCUAAUUUAUAGAAAUGUAUGUUGUAAAUAUGUCAUGGAUAUAUCCUAUUUGGAAGAGUAAAAGGGGGAUUAUAUAGAUUUAAAAUUUGAAUCUAUGAGACAGUAUUAUUGUUUGAUUUUCUGUUUUCACUGAGAAUUAUAAGGUAAAACAUCUCCUUUUGCCACUUCUAUUGAAUUAAUAUAGCAGGGCUUGUGGGAUUUAUUAACUGAAGAGGUUGGAUACUUCUUGGUAAUGGUCUACCAGUCUAGAGACUAUAGUCUUACUGCUUCUAAACAAUUUUCACAUUGUUUCUAUUGCAGCUGCCUCCAUGGGACCUUUCUGUUAUUCCUUUAUUUAUUUAUUAUUUUUUUCUUUGGUAUGGACUAUGGAGGAGGUGUGCAAGGCAGGGAAGAAGUUGGAUUCUUCUCCUCAAUGCUGUUAUUUAAUAAACCAACAAGAUAAAGUGAGGAAAUCCUUUUGUAGUUUCGUUCAAGGUACUGUGAUUCAGUGUGCUUUAAAAUUUUCAUGUUAGCUUUGAAAUGCUUAACUUUGGAGUUAAAGAUGAACUUGGCUGCCAAUCUGACUGCAAGUGUGACAUGGAAACAAGGAAAAUAUGGAUUAAGUCUGUGCGGUGUUGCCAUUCAUCUUUUUGACUUGCAUUUGUAUUUUUUUAGGAGUUUCUCCAUGUUUUUAUUGCUGUUAUUUCUGCUCUGUAUUUUUGACAACAUGUUCCAGAGACCUGAGGAGGAUAACAAUAAUAAUGAAUAUUUUUAUUAUUACUCCUACAACUGAUUCAUACUAUCGUUUCUAUCAAUUCCCCAUUUGAAACUGAUAAUUGUCCUGAGCACCCUGAAAUGUCUAGGAAGCAAGUAAUGCAGUCAUUGCUAAAGGAUAUUUUCUGUGUGUCCACAAUGGACUAGUUUCUGGACUCAGUAGUUAGGACACAACCAUGACUGGGGCUGUUAGUAGGCCGAUCCAUUAAUUGUAUAUUGACUCAUCUGCUGGUAAUUAACUGCUUGAGGUAGAUAUUCUGUACUUGUUAUUUUAAUUCUGGUGCAUAUCCUUUUGCUGUUAAUCCUACUUAAUUUCUUUUGUAAUUUUUGAUGGAUGCUUCUUUGAUAAUCCCACUGUUUUGGGCAUAUGGGAGUGUGCUUCCUAAGCCUUGCAUGUUCAUAUUGUGUUGGUCUACACUUAAUUCAGAAGUUUUACAAAUUCAACAAUGGUUGAACUAAAAUCCUUGUUAUACAUAUUGGAUCUUUGCCAGUUCAAGUGAACCAUGGUAGCUACAUCAUCUAGUUAGGAGAACUAGACAUGCUUUACAUCCUGGAAUUUCUCGGUAUGGUGGAGUUUUUGUGAUCUUACAAUUCUUUAGCAAAUGAAUUACUUUGAUGUUAGCUAGAAGGGAGUGUAUGUAUUUCGGUCGAAAUUAUUUGCUUUUAAUUGAUGUGUGCUUCCUUUUUCUUUUUUUUUCUGCUGUGAGAAUAUGAUGUAUCUUGAGCUUAAUUAAUUAAUUAAUUUAUUUACUUGUAUACAUUAGAAAGAAAAGAGCCUUUGUUUGGUCAAAUCAAAGAUAAGCCAAAUUCAUAACUCUAAAUCGAGGGAAGAUAAUCAAAAUUAAAGCAUAUUUGAGAAAAUAAAGAUGAUUUGAAUGAUGAUUAUAUAGUCUGCAUGGAGAUUCUCUACUUCUGAAACUAAUCUGGCUAAGCAACCUAAUCUUAUUUCUUUUUCUUUUAUACUCAAACUAAUCUAAUUUCAGUAACAAAUGAAAUUCAAAAUUAUAUUGUUCUAUUACCAAUUGCAGCUUACUUUAUUUCCUUAUUAAAAGAAAGAUGUUCAAUACAUAGAAGGAACAAAGAGAUGUACGGCGACAAGAAGGUAACUCCAUCUCUUUUCUCUCUCAGGAAGAUGAACUAUGGCCAUCUGUAAUUAAAAGGUCGAUACUUCCUUCUGAAAAAAGAAAAGGCCAGAAGGGCCAUCAUCUGGCAACAAAGCCAACUUCACAGGACCAGCUGCACCUUCUUCAACAGUAAUGAUCCCAGAGUGAUAGUUGAUGUCAGUUUUGACAUAACCAGGGCAGACACAAUUUAUACGAAAUUUGGGGAACUUCCUUGCCAAAAUCCUUGUGUAGGCAUUCAUAGCUGUUUUGGACAUUGAGUAAGCAGGCCAGCCUUGGCUUUCCUUGAAAUCGUUUAGAAACUUGUUCAACACAUUGUCCACUCUUUCUUCUGUGAGACCA